CCGUCACGUGGCUGGCCCUUGGGGGCGCUACGGACCACGUGAUCUGGCUGGCCGGGAGGGGAGGGGAGGGGCGGGACUCGCUGCCCCUCCUGCCUUACACCCCGGCUUCGGGGAUCCGUUCUAGCCAGGACCACCCGGCCGGAAGCCGGAGAGCGGAAACCGGUAAAAGCCGCGCGGGCGCCCGGCCCUGACGAUGGAACACAGGACGAUGUGGUAGCGCUUCUCUGGGUCCCUGGAUCUGGACAACAGGUCCAGGACAGAGUGAGAGCCCUGCUCGGCCCGAGUGCGUGGGUCUGAGUAGAGGAAGGGAGCACAGAAUCCCCAGGAUCUGGAGCUCCUUAAAGGCAAGGCCUGUGUCUUGCUCACCAUCGUCCCCACUGCUGAGCCAGGUACACUCAGGAAACCUUCAGAUUAAGCUUUCAGUCGUGUUCAACAAUUUGCUAUAUUCUGUGGAAAAAGAAAACUGCUUCAGGACUUGCGCCGGGGUGUUCUCUUGACCGAAAUGUAUUAAAAUACGGUAAUGGUAGCUCACUUUAA